UACGGGGGGGGCAAGCGUUGUUCGGAAUUACUGGGCGUAAAGGGCUCGUAGGCGGCCAACUAAGUCAGACGUGAAAUCCCUCGGCUUAACCGGGGAACUGCGUCUGAUACUGGAUGGCUUGAGUUUGGGAGAGGGAUGCGGAAUUCCAGGUGUAGCGGUGAAUGCGUAGAUAUCUGGAGGAACACCGGUGGCGAAGGCGGCAUCCUGGACCGAUACUGACACUGAGGAGCGAAAGCCAGGGGAGCAAACGGG
rnacentral:rRNA from 1 species